UCGAGAAUCUUCCACAAUGGACGAAAGUCUGAUGGAGCGACGUCGCGUGAUGGACGAAGUGCUUCGGCACGUAAACAUCUUUUAUGUGGGACGAAAUUAUUGACAGUACCACAUGAAUAAGGGGCUCCUAACUCUGUGCCAGCAGGAGCGGUAAUACAGAGGCCCCAAGCGUUAUCCGGAAUCACUGGGCGUAAAGGGUGUCGAGGCGGUUGUAUUAGUCGUUCGUAAAAUCUACGAGCUUAACUUGUAGGCGGCGAACGAAACGGUACGACUUGAGGUUUGGAGAGGUGCGUGGAACUCACGGUGUAGGGGUGAAAUCCGUUGAUAUCGUGGGGAACACCAAAGGCGAAGGCAGCGCACUGGCCAAAAUCUGACGCUCACACACGAAAGCUAGGGUAGCGAAGAGGAUUAGAUACCCGCGUAGUCCCUGAGCGGGCUGGCAAGGCGCAU
rnacentral:rRNA from 1 species